CCCUAUAAUCUCUGCAUUUGCAUAUAAAAAAAGUGAGGUUAUGUCCCUCUCGCGAACCUGAAUGUUCCCCUGUCACGUACCUUUAAACAAUCUCCUGAAAAAUAUGACCCGAAGUCCAGUAUAUCAAGAAAAAUCUAUAAAGUCGAAUUAGCUGAAAACAUUCGAGGUUCACUGAGAAUUGAAGUUUUUGUAGCCAAUAGUUCGGGGGUCCAAGUUUUCACACAAAAGUCACCUGAGAGAAUGCCGAGAUUGAACCCCGCCUCUCAGGAGCUUCAGAGGGAAACGAAGAGUUUUGGGAAUGCCCAUGGCUCCAAGAGCUGACAAAAAAUGCAGUUAUCCACAAUGCCCUCCCCAUCGGGGGAGAGUAAUGAUGGUCAUAGGAUCUAAAUUGGAGAAGUGGAGUUGGAGUAAAACAAAUAACAGCAGAAAAAAAAUUGACGGAGGCGCAGUUUAAGCAGGAGAGACCUAUGAACAAAAUCAAGGGUCAGACCAAAAAGAAACUAACACUAGAAAUUAAUAGAAAAAUCUGUACUUUAUUUUGUAAAUAAAAUCAUUUCAUAUCAA